rnacentral:rRNA from 1 species
AACGAACGCUGGCGGCAUGCCUAACACAUGCAAGUCGAACGAAGGCUUCGGCCUUAGUGGCGCACGGGUGCGUAACGCGUGGGAAUCUGCCCUUGGGUUCGGAAUAACAGUGAGAAAUUACUGCUAAUACCGGAUGAUGACUUCGGUCCAAAGAUUUAUCGCCCAAGGAUGAGCCCGCGUAGGAUUAGCUAGUUGGUGAGGUAAAGGCUCACCAAGGCGACGAUCCUUAGCUGGUCUGAGAGGAUGAUCAGCCACACUGGGACUGAGACACGGCCCAGACUCCUACGGGAGGCAGCAGUGGGGAAUAUUGGACAAUGGGCGAAAGCCUGAUCCAGCAAUGCCGCGUGAGUGAUGAAGGCCUUAGGGUUGUAAAGCUCUUUUACCCGGGAAGAUAAUGACUGUACCGGGAGAAUAAGCUCCGGCUAACUCCGUGCCAGCAGCCGCCGUAAAAC